rnacentral:rRNA from 1 species
AUUGAACGCUGGCGGCAGGCCUAACACAUGCAAGUCGAGCGGAUGAGUGGAGCUUGCUCCAUGAUUCAGCGGCGGACGGGUGAGUAAUGCCUAGGAAUCUGCCUGGUAGUGGGGGACAACGUUUCGAAAGGAACGCUAAUACCGCAUACGUCCUACGGGAGAAAGUGGGGGAUCUUCGGACCUCACGCUAUCAGAUGAGCCUAGGUCGGAUUAGCUAGUUGGUGAGGUAAAGGCUCACCAAGGCGACGAUCAGUAACUGGUCUGAGAGGAUGAUCGAACACACUGGAACUGAGACAGGGUCCAGACUCCUACGGGAGGCAGCAGUGGGGAAUAUUGGACAAUGGGCUAAAGACUGAGCCAGCCAUGCCGCGUGUGUGAAGAAGGUCGUCGGAUUGUAAAGCACUUUAAGUUGGGAGGAAGGGCAGUAAGUGAAUACCUUGCUGUUUUGACGUUACCAACAGAAUAAGCACCGGCUAACUUCGUGCCAGCCGCCGCGGUAAAAC